rnacentral:lncRNA from 1 species
CAAGUUGCCAUUGAAAACAUUAUGAAUCGUUUUAAAAACAUGAAAAUGCGUACAGAGCAACUAUUAAAUGCAUUUUUUAUAUAUUUCAACUGACUUUGUUAUUUUAUUAUGUGAUUUUAUUCAAUGACAUUGUAUUUUUACUGAAUUGCUUUUAUUAUGUGAUUUGACCCGACCCGACCCGACUAGAUCCAAACCGAUCCAAAAAGUUUGACUCCAGGUAACUAUAAUUUGGGGGUAUCCAUAAAAAAUGACACCAUAAGAAAAAAUUUCUAGCUCCGCCACUGAUAGUUGGGACAUAAUUCGCCACCUAAGAACAUGAAUAGAAGGCUACAUUACCCCCUUGCUUGAUCCACCAUGGUUCGCAUGGAUUAAGACUAUGGGGUAUGGGGGCGUGGGUUGGGUUUGGUUAAUGGGCUAAGACUUAGUGGGGAAGCUAGUUAGGAAUUAUAAGUGGGUAAGUGUACGGUUAUUUGGGUUUAGUUAGUUAGGUAUUAAAAAUUAUAUAAUUUAGUUAGUAUUCUUUUUAAAUAAGAGUUUACUAAAAAAAUUAAAAUAUAAAUUGAUAACACUUUUUACCUAAGGGGUGCGGACAAAAAAUUUCAAGGGGUGCGGUCGAAAAUUCCAAGGGGUGCGAACGAAAAAUUUCAAUGGGUGCGGACGGGAUUUUCGACGGAAUUUAGCACUAAAUUUUUUUUUCCUUGGGGGUGCGCCCGCCCACCUUGGGCUGGGCUUGGUCCGCCCCUGCGGGUGGGCUUGGGUUUCGGCAUGGCCCCUUGGGCGGGGGUUUCAUCCCGGACGUUGGGCAUAGCUACCCACAUGACAUGGUGGAACCUCAUUGGCCAAGAACACUAGCCCUUUGAAAUUGGCUUUUUUUCCACGCCACCCAGCCACGCACCACCAUACCCCUUUGUAAAUUGGCUUUUGGUCUUGAGUGCCCCAUACUCCACGUGUCGCACCAUGCCCCCAACCCACGCCCCACCAUACCCCACGGUCUAAACCAUGGCAACCAUGGUCCUCCUUUCCAUUUUUCAAAAAAUCAUUUCCUUUUUCUUUAAACAAAGAUAAAUUAAAAUAAAUAAGGGGUUAAUGGUUUGAGUCAUGACCACACCCUUAGAGUAGUGGUUUUGAACGGUGGAUUAGAGAUAUGUUACAUGGUACUGACGUGGAGGGUAAUGGCGAUCACGAGGGUCAUGACCACACCCUAUAGUCUUAGGGUACGGUUUUAGAGUUAUGAGGCCCAAGAGAAGUGGAUGGAAAUGUCUCGAUGAGCUGAAUUAUGUGGCUCGCCCGACAUACCCAAACUCUCUAUGAUUUAAGGCUUUAUUCAAAUAGGAGAAAAAUUUACAUCGAAAUAGUUGGUAAACGGGCAACAAGCUGCGCCGCUACCCCUUUUUGAAUAGCAAAACUAAGCCUUUUAAAAACUAAGUUCAUAGAUCUCGGGGUCAUAACAUUACUAUGCAUGACCCUUUGAACUCGAUUAAGUAGGUCCACAGCCUCUGGCGCCAGAAAACCAAAAGUAUCAAAAGCAAAUGGGAUAAACACGUGUUGGUUGUCAAGGCACGCUUUCUCAUGUUUGGUCACUUUAGCCGAAGCAGCCUUUAAAGCAGCCUGACCCACCGUGAAAGCACUACCCCCUAAGCCCACAAGCGGGGAAACCCCUGUUAGAUCCACACAGGCAUGUUUUCCUCCUACCCAUUCAAAGACCAGAAUAUCGGCCGGUCGAAGGGUAGAUCUCCCUUCCAACGGGUCUGUUAAGAAAUUAACGGGUGCCUCUUUGAUUUUAUUAAUGAAGAUUUUCCCCUAAUUUUAUCAAUCCUUU